GAUGAACGCUGGCGGUGUGCUUAACACAUGCAAGUCGAACGGACUCUCCGGAGGUAUUCGCGUCUGGCUGAGUAAGCGGUGGGAAUAGUGCCUUGGGUUUGAGCCAACCACUAGAAUGGGUUGACAACGCCAGAUGGGCGCUGAUCACAAAGAGAAUUUUACUCAAGAUGAGCUCGUGUCUGAUUAGCUAUUUGGUGAGGUAAAGGCUCACCAAGGCAGCGAUCAGUAGCUGGUCUGAGAGGAUGACCGGCCACACUGGGACUGAGACACAGCCCAGACUCAUACGGGAGGAAGGAGUGGGGAAUUGUCCGCAAUGGGCGAAAGCCUGACGGAGCAAUACCGCGUGAGAGAAGAAGGCUCUUGGGUUGUAAACCUCUUUUCUUAGGGAAGAACAAAAUGACGGUACCUAAGGAAUCAGCAUCGGCUAACUCCGUG
rnacentral:rRNA from 1 species